CCGACGCAUAUGGUGAACCAAAAAUAGUGUUUUAGUUUUAUAAUGUACUUAACUAAAAUCCGUUUUUUAUUUCACAUUUCAAUUCAUAUCGUAUUUAUAUUUGUAAACAAUGAGAUAUG